rnacentral:tRNA from 1 species
UAUUAGAAAGUGAAAUUUAUCACAUUUAGUUUCGACCUAAACCUUGGCUUUUAGGCCUCUAAUAA